rnacentral:rRNA from 1 species
UACGGAGGAUCCAAGCGUUAUCCGGAUUUAUUGGGUUUAAAGGGUGCGUAGGCGGGUUGAUAAGUCAGUGGUGAAAGUUUGCAGCUUAACUGUAAAAUUGCCGUUGAAACUGUCAAUCUUGAGUGCAAGUGAGGUAAGCGGAAUGUGUUGUGUAGCGGUGAAAUGCUUAGAUAUAACACAGAACACCGAUUGCGAAGGCAGCUUACUAAUAUGUAACUGACGCUGAGGCACGAAAGCGUGGGGAUCAAACAGGAUUAGAUACCCUGGUAGUCCACGCAGUAAACGAUGAAUACUAGUUGUUUGCGAUAUACAGUAAGUAACACAGCGAAAGCGUUAAGUAUUCCACCUGGGGAGUACGUUCGCAAGAAUGAAACUCAAAGGAAUUGACGGGGGCCCGCACAAGCGGAGGAACAUGUGGUUUAAUUCGAUGAUACGCGAGGAACCUUACCCGGGCUUGAAAUGCAGAGGAAUGACGUGGAAACAUGUCCGCCAGCAAUGGUCUCUGUGUAGGUGCUGCAUGGUU